CGCAGUUCUAAAUUAGGAUGGUUGGU
rnacentral:piRNA from 1 species